AUGGCUCUGGGCAGACACCUCUCCCUGCGGGGACUCUGUGUCCUCCUCCUCGGCACCGUGGUGGGUGGUCAAGUACUGGAGCUGAGGCUGAAGGAUGGAGCCCACCACUGUGAGGGGAGAGUGGAAGUGAAGCACCAAGGAGAAUGGGGCACAGUGGAUGAUCUGGAAUGGACCUUGAAGGAUGCAUCUGUAGUGUGCAGACAGCUGGGGUGUGGAGCUGCCAUUGGUUUUCCUGGAGGGGCUUAUUUUGGACCAGGACUUGGCCCCAUUUGGCUUUCGUAUACUUCAUGUGAAGGGGUAGAGUCAUCUGUCAGUGACUGUAGGCAUUCUAAUAUUAAAGACUAUCGUAAUGCUAGCUAUUCGCACGACGAGGAUGCUGGAGUAGUCUGCUCAGGAUUUGUGCGUCUGGCUGGAGGGGAUGGACCCUGCUCAGGGCGAGUAGAAGUGUAUUCUGGAGAAGCCUGGAUCCCAGUGUCUGAUGGGAAUUUCACACUCCUCACUGCCGAGGUCAUCUGUGCAGAGCUGGGGUGUGGCAAGGCUGUGUCUGUCCAGGGACAUGAGCUCUUCAGAGAGUCCAGUGCCUGGGUCUGGGCUGAAGAGUUCAGGUGUGAGGGGGAGGAGCCUGAGCUCUGGGUCUGCCUCAGAGUGCCCUGUCCAGGGGGCACCUGUCACCACAGUGGAUCUGCUCAGGUUGUCUGUUCAGCAUACUCAGAAGUCCGGCUCAUGACAAAUGGCUCCUCUCAGUGUGAGGGGCAGGUGGAGAUGAACAUUUCUGGACGAUGGAGAGCGCUCUGUGCCUCCCACUGGAGUCUGGCCAAUGCCAAUGUUGUCUGUCGUCAGCUCGGCUGUGGAGUUGCCAUCUCCACCCCCGGAGGACCACACUUGGUGGAAGGAGGUGAUCAGAUCCUAACAGCCCUAUUUCACUGCUCGGGGGCAGAGUCCUUCCUGUGGAGUUGUCCUGUGACUGCCCUGGGUGGGCCUGACUGUUCCCAUGGCAACACAGCCUCUGUGAUCUGCUCAGGAAACCAGACCCAGGUGCUGCCCCAGUGCAAUGACUCUAUGGCAGAACCAGCUGGCUCUUGGGCCUCAGAGGAGAGCGCCCCCUACUGCUCAGACAACAGAUAGCUCUGCCUGGUGGAAGGAGCUGGUCCCUGUGCCGGGAGAGUGGAGAUCCUUGACCAGGGCUCCUGGGGCACCAUCUGUGAUGACGGCUGGGACCUGGACGAUGCCCACGUGGUGUGCAGGCAGCUGGGCUGUGGAGAAGCCCUCAAUGCCACAGGGUCUGCUCACUUCGGAGCAGGAUCAGGGCCCAUCUGGCUGGACGACCUGAACUGCACAGGAAAGGAGUCCCACGUGUGGAGGUGCCCUUCCCGGGGCUGGGGGCAGCACAACUGCAGACACAAGCAGGAUGUGGGGGUCAUCUGCUCAGAGUUCCUGGCCCUCAGGAUGGUGAGUGAGGACCAGCAGUGUGCUGGGUGGCUGGAAGUUUUCUACAACGGGACCUGGGGCAGUGUCUGCUGCAACCCCAUGGAAGACAUCACUGUGUCCAUCAUCUGCAGACAGCUUGGCUGUGGGGACAGUGCAACCCUCAACUCUUCUGUUGAUCUCAGGGAAGGUUCUAGACCCCAGUGGGUGGAUAGAAUCCACUGUUGGAAAACUGACACCUCUCUCUGGCCGUGUCCUUCUGACCCUUGGAAUUACACUUCGUGCUCUCCAAAGGAGGAAGCCUAUAUCUCGUGUGCAGGUAGCAGACAGCUCCGCCUGGUGGACGGGGGCGGUCCCUGUGCCGGGAGAGUGGAGAUCCUUAAUCAGGGCUCCUGGGGCACCAUCUGUGAUUACAGCUGGAGCAUGAAAGAUGCCCGCGUGGUGUGCAGACAGUUGGGCUGUGGAAAAGCCCUCUAUGCCACUCUCUCUUCUUCCUUUGGGGCGGGAUCAGGGCCCAUUUGGCUGGACAACAUGAAGUGCACAGGAAAGGAGUCCCAGUGUGGAGGUGCCCUUCCCGGGGCUGGGGGAAGCACUACUGCGAUCAUAGUGAGGAUGCAGGAGUCAUCUGCUCAGGAUUUGUGGGUCUGGCUGGAGGGGAUGGACCCUGCUCAGGGCGAGUAGAAGUGCAUUCUGGAGAAGCCUGGAUCCCAGUGUCUGAUGGAAACUUCACACUCCCCACUGCCCAGGUCAUCUGUGCAGAGCUAGGGUGUGGCAAGGCUGUGUCUGUCCUGGGACAUGUGCCCUUCAGAGAGUCCGAUGGCCGGGUCUGGGCUGAAGAGUUCAGGUGUGAGGGGGAGGAGCCUAAGCUCUGGUGGUGCCCCAGAGUGCCCUGUCCAGGGGGGACAUGUCACUACAGUGGAGCUGCUCAGGUUGUCUGUUCAGUGUACACAGAUGUCUGGCUCAUGACAAAUGGCUCCUCACUGUGUGAGGGGCAGGUGGAGAUGAACAUUUCUGGACAAUGGAGAGCGCUCUGUGCCCCCCACUGGAAUCUGGCCAAUGCCAAUGUUGUCUGUUAUCAGCUCGGCUGUGGAGUCGCCAUUUCCACCCCAAAUGGAGCAGAAGGAAGUGAUCAACUCUGGAAAGCCCGAUUUCACUGCUCAGGGACUGAGUCUUUCCUGUGGAAAUGCCCUGUGACUGCCCUGGGUGUUCCUGACUGUUCCCAUGACAAUACGGCUUCUGUGAUCUUCGCAGGAAACCAGACCCAGGUGCUGCCCCAGUGCGACCACUUUGUGUCUGAACCAGCAGGAUCUGCGGCCUCAGAGGACAGCGCCCCCUACUGCUCAGACAGCAGACAGCUCCGCCUGGUGGACGGGGGCGGUCCCUGCGCCGGGAGAGUGGAGAUCCUUGACCAGGGCUCUUGGGGCACCAUCUGUGAUGACGGCUGGGAUCUGGACGAUGCCCGCGUGGUGUGCAGACAGCUGGGCUGUGGAGUAGCCCUUAAUGCCACGGGGUCUGCUCACUUUGCGGCAGGAUCAGGGCCCAUCUGGCUGGACGACCUGAACUGCACAGGAAAGGAGUCCCACGUGUGGACGUGCCCUUCCCGGGGCUGGGGGCGGCACGAUUGCAGACACAAGGAGGACGCCGGGGUCAUCUGCUCAGAGUUCCUGGCCCUCAGGAUGGUGAGCGAGGACCAGCCGUGUGCUGGGUGGCUGGAAGUUUUCUACAACGGGACCUGGGGCAGUGUCUGCCGCAGCCCCAUGGAUGAUGUCACCGUGUCCAUCAUCUGCAGACAGCUUGGCUGUGGGGACAGUGGAAGUCUCAACACCUCUGUUGGUCUCAGGGAAGGUUCUAGACCCCGGUGGGUAGAUUUAAUUCAGUGUCGGAAAAUGGAUACCUCUCUCUGGCACUGUCCUUCUGGCCCAUGGAAAUACAGUUCAUGCUCUCCAAAGGAGGAAGCCUACGUCUCAUGUGCAGGAAGAAGACCCAAGAGCUGUCCAACUGCUGCCUCCUGCACAGACAGAGAGAAGCUUCGGCUCAGGGGAGGAGACAGCGAGUGCUCAGGGCGGGUGGAGGUCUGGCACAGCGGCUCCUGGGGCACCGUGUGUGAUGACUCCUGGAGCCUGGCAGAGGCCGAGGUGGUGUGUCAGCAGCUGGGCUGUGGCCAGGCCCUAGAAGCCGUGCAGGCUGCGGGGUUUGGCCCUGGAAAUGGGAGCAUCUGGCUGGACGAGGUGUGGUGCAGGGGCCGGGAGUCCUCCCUGUGGGACUGUGCUGAGGAGCCCUGGGAGCAGAGCGACUGCAAGCAUGAGGAGGAUGCUGGUGUGAGGUGCUCUGGUGAGACAUUGCCCACGACCACAGCAGGGACCAGAACAACCUCAAAUUCUCUCCCUGGCAUCUUCUCCCUGCCUGGGGUCCUCUGCCUUAUCCUGGGGUCCCUUCUCUUCCUGGUCCUCAUCAUCCUGGUGACUCAGCUACUCAGAUGGAGAGCAGAGCACAGAGCCUUAUCCAGCUAUGAAGAUGCUCUUGCUGAAGCUGUGUAUGAGGAGCUUGAUUACCUUCUGACACAGAAGGAAGGUCUGGGCAGCCCAGGUGAGGAUGGUGAGGACAACAGUGAUUACAGAUCUGCUCCAGCCCCAGAUCAGAGGACUGAUGUCCCUGCUGAAAAUUACGAUAAUGCUGAAGAAGUACCAGUGCCUGGAACUCCUUCUGCCUCUCAGGGGAAUGAGGAGGAAGUGCCCCCAGAGAAGGAGGAUGGGGUGAGGUCCUCUCAGACAGGCUCUUGUCUGAACUUCUCCAGAGAGGCAGCUGAUCCUGGGGAAGGAGAAGAGAGCUUCUGGCUGCUCCAGGGGAAGAAAGGGGAUCCUGGGUAUGAUGAUGUUGAACUCAGUGCCCUGGGAACAUCCCCAGUGACUUUCUCGUGA
rnacentral:misc_RNA from 1 species